GCGAGAACGCGUAGUCAACCUAACCUAUGGACGGGAAUAACCUCGGGAAACUGAGAAUAAUGCCCGAUAGAACACUAUACCUGGAAUGGUUUGUGUUCCAAAUGAUUUAUCGCCGUAGGAUGGGACUGCGGCCUAUCAGUUUGUUGGUGAGGUAAUGGCCCACCAAGACUAUUACAGGUACGGGCUCUGAGAGGAGUAGCCCGGAGAUGGGUACUGAGACACGGACCCAGGCCCUAUGGGGCGCAGCAGGCGAGAAAACUUUGCAAUAUGCGAAAGCACGACAAGGUUAAUCCGAGUGGUUUCUGCUAAAGGAACCUUUUGUUAGUCCUAGAACCACUAACGAAUAAGGGGUGGGCAAGUUCUGGUGUCAGCCACCGCGGUAAAACCAGCACCUCAAGUGGUCAGGAUGAUUAUUGGGCCUAAAGCAUCCGUAGCCGGCUCUGUAAGUUUUCGGUUAAAUCUGUACGCUCAACGUACAGGCUGCCGGUAAUACUGCAGAGCUAGGGAGUGGGAGAGGUAGACGGUACUCGGGAGGAAGUGGUAAAAUGCUUUGAUCUCUCGAUGACCACCUGUGGCGAAAGCGAUCUACCAGAACACGUCCGACGGUGAGGGAUGAAAGCUGGGGGAGCAAACCGGAUUAGAUACCCGGGUAGUCCCAGCUGU
rnacentral:rRNA from 1 species